CCUACGGGAGGCAGCAGUGGGGAAUUUUGCGCAAUGCUCGUAAGAGUGACGCAGCGACGCCGCGUGAAUGACGAAGGCCUUCGGGUCGUAAAGUUCUUUCGACAGGGAAGAAAAUGCCUAUAAGUAACUGUGUAUGUAUUGACGGUACCUGUAUAAGCAGCCCCGGCUAACUCCGUGCCAGCAGCCGCGGUAAUACGGAGGGGGCGAGCGUUGUUCGGAGUGACUGGGCGUAAAGAGCACGUAGGCGGUGUUGUAAGUCAUUAGUCAAAGAGUAGAGCUCAACUUUAGUAAGGCUAGUGAUACGAUAAUACAAGAGUAGCAGAGAGGAUUGAACAAUUCCUGUUGUAGCUCUCAAAU
rnacentral:rRNA from 1 species